UGAGUAACGCGUAUGCGACCUGCCCGUUGCAGAGGGAUAAUCGGGAGAAAUCCCGUCUAAUACCGCGUAACGCCGCGGGGCUGCAUGGCCCUGCGGCCAAAGGGAGCGAUUCCGGCAACGGAUGGGCAUGCGUGACAUUAGCUAGUUGGCGGGGCAACGGCCCACCAAGGCGACGAUGUCUAGGGGUUCUGAGAGGAAGGUCCCCCACACUGGUACUGAGACACGGACCAGACUCCUACGGAAGGCAGCAG
rnacentral:rRNA from 1 species